GAUGUAUACACCCAUGAAACCAUGCUGACAGUAAAAGUAAUGAAAGUGCUACUGUUUCCUACAGGCCUCCUCACGCUCCUGGAAACCCUGGCCAUCCAGGCAAUUAUAUCAGCUUUCUCUUGUUAGAGAUCCACUUUCACCUUCUCUGCCUUGCAAUGGAUAGCCUUGCUGGACUGUGCCCUCUCCCAUUAGAUUGUACCAGUGUAAACGUCCAGCAUGAAAUCUGGGUGAGGAAAUUGUGAGGAAAAAAC
rnacentral:lncRNA from 1 species